AUUGAACGCUGGCGGCAGGCCUAACACAUGCAAGUCGAACGAGUGGCGGACGGGUGAGUAAUGUCUGGGAAACUGCCCGGUGGAGGGGGAUAACUACUGGAAACGGUAGCUAAUACCGCAUACCAUCGGAUGUGCCCAGAUGGGAUUAGCUGGUUGGCGGGGUAAAGGCUCACCUAGGCGACGAUCCCUAGCUGGUCUGAGAGGAUGAACAGCCACACUGGGACUGAGACACGGUCCAGACUCCGACGGGAGGCAGCAGUGGGGAAUAUUGCACAAUGGGCGCAAGCCUGAUGCAGCCAUGCCGCGUGUAUGAAGAAGGCCUUCGGGUUGUAAAGUACUUUCAGCGAGGAGGCGUUACUCGCAGAAGAAGCACCGGCUAACUCCGUGCCAGCAGCCGCGGUAAUUC
rnacentral:rRNA from 1 species